ACCCGCUGAACUUAAGCAUAUCAAUAAGCGGAGGAAAAGAAACUAACAAGAAUUCCCCUAGUAACUGCGAGUGAAGAGGGAAAAGCUCAAAUUUAAAAUCUGUCAACCUUUAUGGUUGUCCGAGUUGUAAUCUAGAGAAGCGUUUUCCGUGCUGGACCGUGUACAAGUCUCUUGGAACAGAGCAUCGUAGAGGGUGAAAAUCCCGUCUUUCGACACGGAUUGCCAGUGCUAAUGUGAUACGCUCUCAAAGAGUCGAGUUGUUUGGGAAUGCAGCUCAAAAUGGGUGGUAAAUUCCAUCUAAAGCUAAAUAUUGGCGAGAGACCGAUAGCGAACAAGUACCGUGAGGGAAAGAUGAAAAGAACUUUGGAAAGAGAGUUAAACAGUACGUGAAAUUGUUGAAAGGAAAACGCUUGAAGUCAGUCACGUUGGUCAGAAGUCAACCUAUAACAGGGUGAAAUUUCUGGCUUUACGGGUCAACAUCAAUUUUGAUUGUUGGAUAAAAGCUAAUGAUUAUAGGUUUUUGAACUUAUAAGCUUUGGUUGUAUGCAAUGGUUGGGAUUGAGGAAAUCAGCACGCCUUAAAGGCAGGAUCUAUAAGAUCACUUACGUGCUUAGGUUGUUGGCAUAAUGGCUUUAAUCGACCCGUCUUGAAACACGG
rnacentral:rRNA from 1 species